rnacentral:rRNA from 1 species
UACGAAGGGGCUAGCGUUGCUCGGAAUCACUGGGCGUAAAGGGUGCGUAGGCGGGUCUUUAAGUCAGGGGUGAAAUCCUGGAGCUCAACUCCAGAACUGCCUUUGAUACUGAAGAUCUUGAGUUCGGGAGAGGUGAGUGGAACUGCGAGUGUAGAGGUGAAAUUCGUAGAUAUUCGGAAGAACACCAGUGGCGAAGGCGGCUCACUGGCCCGGUACUGACGCUGAGGUGCGAAAGCGUGGGGAGCAAACAGGG